UACGUAGGCAGCGAGCGUUGUUCGGAGUUACUGGGCGUAAAGAGUGCGUAGGCGGUUUUCUAAGUUUGGUGUGAAAUCUCCCGGCUCAACUGGGAGGGUGCGCCGAAGACUGGAAGGCUUGAGUAUGGGAGAGGUAAGCGGAAUUCCUGGUGUAGCGGUGAAAUGCGUAGAUAUCGGAAGGAACACCAGUGGCGAAAGCGGCUUCCUGGUCCAGCACCGACGUUCAGGCACGAAAGCGUGGGGAGCAAACAGG
rnacentral:rRNA from 1 species